rnacentral:rRNA from 1 species
UACGUAGGUGGCAAGCGUUACUCGGAAUCACUAGGCGUAAAGCGCAGGUAGGCGGUUGGAUAAGUUUCUUGUGAAAGCUCCUGGCUUAACUGGGAGAGGUCAAGGAAUACUGUCUGACUUGAGUGUGGUAGGGGUAACUGGAAUUCCCGGUGUAGCGGUGAAAUGCGUAGAUAUCGGGAGGAAUACCUAUGGCGAAGGCAGGUUACUGGGCCAUCACUGACGCUGAGGAGCGAAAGCGUGGGGAGCAAACAGG